AUUGAACGCUGGCGGCAGGCCUAACACAUGCAAGUCGAACGGUAACAGGAAGAAGCUUGCUUCUUUGCUGACGAGUGGCGGACGGGUGAGUAAUGUCUGGGAAACUGCCUGAUGGAGGGGGAUAACUACUGGAAACGGUAGCUAAUACCGCAUAACGUCGCAAGACCAAAGAGGGGGACCUUCGGGCCUCUUGCCAUCGGAUGUGCCCAGAUGGGAUUAGCUAGUAGGUGGGGUAACGGCUCACCUAGGCGACGAUCCCUAGCUGGUCUGAGAGGAUGACCAGCCACACUGGAACUGAGACACGGUCCAGACUCCUACGGGAGGCAGCAGUGGGGAAUAUUGCACAAUGGGCGCAAGCCUGAUGCAGCCAUGCCGCGUGUAUGAAGAAGGCCUUCGGGUUGUAAAGUACUUUCAGCGGGGAGGAAGCGAGUCAAGUUAAUACCUUUGCUCAUUGACGUUACCCUCAGAAGAAGCACCGGCUAACUCCGUG
rnacentral:rRNA from 1 species